GGUACCUGCAAUCCUGGAGGUGCCAGCAGCCGCGGUAAUACGGAAGAUGCGAGCGUUAUCCGGAUUUAUUGGGUUUAAAGGGAGCGUAGGCGGGCUUUUAAGUCAGCGGUCAAAUGCCACGGCUCAACCGUGGCCAGCCGUUGAAACUGUAAGCCUUGAGUCUGCACAGGGCACAUGGAAUUCGUGGUGUAGCGGUGAAAUGCUUAGAUAUCACGAAGAACUCCGAUCGCGAAGGCAUUGUGCCGGGGCAGCACUGACGCUGAGGCUCGAAAGUGCGGGUAUCAAACAGGAUUAGAUACCCUGGUAGUCCAGAGAAGAAAUGAAGUGC
rnacentral:rRNA from 1 species